GCAACCACUGGCGGUUGCAAUCUGAGCCUUAACAAGCCUUCCCGGUGAUUGUGAGGAAUACGUCAGUGUGUGGAGCAUUUGCGAAGUUUCUGCACUUCCUGCACUUCCCCAGGAGACGCCAGGCAGCGAGAGCCAUUGUUUGAGCGGAGUCUCCCUCCAGACUGACCAUCCUCGCUGAGACAGAUUCCUCAAGAAUGCAGCCCAAACUUGGAACCCGCCACCGCUCCUGGCAGGAUUGCAGAGGUGUAGGUGGUCCUCAGCACCACGGAGAGCGGCCUGGGGUUCCUGGCUCGGCGUCAGACGGCUUGUAGCGUGGAUCCUCCCUCAGAAGACAGCGCGGGGACCUUAGGGGGAUUCCCGCCCUGACGUCGUCACCUGCUGUGGUUUGAACAUGUCCUCCCCAAAACUCGGGUUGAACUUUAAUUGCUGUUAUAACAAUAUUAAAAGGCGGGACCGGCAAGUGGUGAGGAGGUCACGAGGGCUUCACUUGUCAUGAAUGGAUCAAGACUGUUGUCGUGGGAAUGGAUAAGUUAUCACAGGUGCGCGUCCCUGAAAAGAAGAUGAGUUCGCCUGGAUUUUUUGUGUUUGUCACGCAUGCGCGUUUUCUCCACGCAGGACGCCCCCUGUUGUUAUAAAGCGGGAAGAGGGCGCUCACUAGGUAGCAGUGCUGUGUUCCGGACUUCCCCACCUCCAGAACUGUAAGAAACACAGCUCAUUAUAAACUACCCAGGCUCCGUGUUAAAGCAGCAAGGACCCCACCGAGACAUCACCCCUGGUCUGGAACCACAGGAGGUGAAGGCGCAAGACCACAGACAGGAGUUUGACACAUGUCUUGGAGACAGUCGGGGGCAGAUCCUGAGCUCGAGACCUGACCCAGCCACCGCCUCCCUCUGGACAUCUUAUUAGGUAUCAUUGUUCGCCGGGUUUAAGUCACGUUCUCUGUGACUUUAGCCGAAAACAUCCCUCGUGAUCCUUUACUCCUCAUCUAUGCUUCCUGGCCCAUCCCCCGUCCUUCUCCCUCCCCGGCCCCCUCCGUCUCUGUCUCUGUCUCUCACACACACUCAGGGGGAUACAGUCGCAGAAGCAGCAGUGCUGUCUUUCAUAGCCACAAACACAAACAGGGUCAAUGUCGAGGACACAUUGUUUUUCUCAUUCUUUAUUUUUCACGAACUAUGAAAAACCACAAGAAUAAACAUCUUUUGAGGCCUUCACAAGCAAAUAGGGAUCUGGAGGUGGGAAUCUAGGUCAGCCCACCUGGAGGGGCGGCGGGCAAGAGGGUGCCUUCAUCUGCCCAAGGGGACCUCGGUGGCCUCCCCCUUUGUCUCCUCUGGUGUGGACUCUCUGGUCUCAGCCUCCUCUUGCAGAUCUCAUCUCCUCCUGGGACAUCAGCCCUGCCAGAGCUGUGUGGUGUAGUGUCAGCUGGGCAGAAGGAAGACCCAGGGGAUCCCCAGGCUGGAGGACUGGAGCAGGGUGGGGCAGGGAGCCAGGCAAGCUUAGGGAAAGGGACCCUGACCGGGCUCAGUGUUUGUGCUCUGGAAGUCACCUGAGCGUGACAAUCCCUGGACCCUCAGCAGCUCCCGACAACACGAGGGGCCAUGGGUGCCCGGAUGGGGCAAAGGUGGGGCAGGCAGGGCUCAUUUUCCCGCCCAGGGCCCUAGUGUGGAGGGGCUGGUGAGGGGUCCCCAGGGAGAAUUUUUGUGUGUGUGUGUGUGCCGGAGAUCGAACUCGAGUCCUUAUGCUUGUGCAGCAGGCGGCGAAACCACUGAGCUAAAUCCCCAGUCCUACCCAGGGAGAAUUUUUGAGGGAGACUGGGGGCUCCUAGAAGGAGUUUGCUUAGGAGAGGAAUACUAUGGGAUGGCAGGAUAGAGAGAGCCAAGACCAAGACAGAAUGAAAGAAUAGAAGGAAUAUAGAACAUUAAAGCAUUUGAUUAGUGCAUGUUUUAUGCUUGUAUUGAAAUACCUCACUGAAGCCCACUGAUAUACGCUUAAUAAUUUUGAUCAAAAAGCAUAAAAAAGAGGAAGUGUUAAGAUGGGAAGUGACUUGAUUAAAUCUGAAUGUGCACCAGGCAACAGGGACUUGUGAUUUUUACUAAAUAUAUUAGGCACCAAAUUUAUUACCAGAUGGCCACCCAGGAACAUAUGUGCCCCAGUGUGAUUUGCAGAGUAUGAAAUCAAGAACAUGUUUUUACCUGCUCAGUUUUGUUGAUAAUCUUUUAUCUUCUUCCAUUAAAAAUUCUACUCCUAGCUGGCCAUGCUGGUGCACACCUGUGAUCCCAGCACUCUAGGAGCGGAGGCAGGAGGAUCACAAGUUCAAGCCCAGCCUGAGCAAUCUAGCAAUUUAGUGAGACCCUGUCUCAAAAUAAAAGGUAAAAAAAAGGGCUGGGGAUGUGGCUGUGUGUGAAAGACCUGAGUUCAAUCCCCAAUACCACACACGCAAGUGCCCCCCUCACACACACACACAUGCACACACAUUAUAUUCCUAGAUGUUGUGGUGGCAUAAGCCUGUAAUUCCAGCACUCAGAAGGCUGAGGCAGGAGGAUCACAAGUUUCAAGCCAGUCAGGGCUACAUAAAAGAACCAAACUAAAAAAGAAAAGAACUUGUACUCUCUACUUCAAUGUGCCAGUUGGGCUCUGCAGGCAGAGCAGGCUCCUUAUGGGAAAGCUGGUCAGUUAUGAGCAGUUAAAUUCUCUUAAAGUCGUUCAGUGUUCAACUCUCUAACCUUCCUUUGUGAAUUCUUUUUUUUUUUUGGUACCGGGGAUCAAAUUCGGGUCCUUGCGCUUGCACUUGCACAGCAGGUG